CUUUACUCUGUGUGAUGUAGCUUUGUUACCAUAGCAACCGUCUGGAUACUUAUUGAUCAGACCACGUAUAUAUUUUCGCCACUGAAUGCAUUCCGAGACGAGUAAAAUAAAUGUUGUUAAGGUGAAUCUUGGACAAGUACUAAACAACGAGAGUAGAAAAGGAAAAUGAAGAGCAUGGAAAGAAUUCCGAUAGAAGACUACGACUAUGGAUAGUGUGUUGUCAAAUGGCAUCGGACAUUAUAAAUACGUAGAAGAUGAUGAGUGGGUGAAAUAUUGCUUGGGAUUCGGUACGGCUAUAUUGUUACACAAAGCUUCAUUCACCGACAAUAUUGUAUUGUAGAGAAAGCUUCAAAAGUUGAGCGAUUUCAAAGUGUGUGAGAUAGAAUUUGAAAUGGAUUCUGUGAGAGAUGGCAUGUUAAUCAGUUUGUUGAUACCUAUUUUAUUUUUGUUUUCUCCGCGGCUUAGAUUCUCUAAUUUGUUUUCUGCAUAUUAUAUCUCUGAAAAGUGUGCUACAUUUUGCAUCCAACGCGAGCAUUCCAGUGCUGAAUACCACAUUAGAAUGUUGGCAUAAGGCCAGUAAUUUCGAGGGAGGGGCCAAGUCAAUUAAAUUGACACCAGUUGUCAACUGGUACUUAUUCUAUCAACCCCGAAAUGACGAAAGACAAAGUUGACAUCGGCUAGAAUUUGAACUCAGAACAUAAAGACGCCAACGUAGACGGUUUUAUAAUAUUAAAACAUGUCCUGGUAUCCCUUCUGUAUUUGACGGAAUAAUAGAAAACAUUAAAUUAUUUGAAAUAUGAUA